GGCGAACGCUGGCGGCGUGCCUAAUACAUGCAAGUCGAGCGAAGUUUGUCUGGUGCUUGCACCGGAAAAACUUAGCGGCGAACGGGUGAGUAACACGUAAAGAACCUGCCUCAUAGACUGGGACAACUAUUGGAAACGAUAGCUAAUACCGGAUAACAGCAUUAACUGCAUGGUUGAUGUUUGAAAGUUGGUUUUGCUAACACUAUGAGAUGGCUUCGCGGUGCAUUAGCUAGUUGGUGGGGUAAAGGCCUACCAAGGCGACGAUGCAUAGCCGACCUGAGAGGGUGAUCGGCCACACUGGGACUGAGACACGGCCCAGACUCCUACGGGAGGCAGCAGUAGGGAAUCUUCCGCAAUGGGCGAAAGCCUGACGGAGCAACGCCGCGUGAGUGAAGAAGGAUUUCGGUUCGUAAAGCUCUGUUGUUAGGGAAGAAUGAUUGUGUAGUAACUAUACACAGUAGAGACGGUACCUAACCAGAAAGCCACGGCUAACUACGUGC
rnacentral:rRNA from 1 species